AUGUUGUUUGAAGGUCCCAGGUUCAUUCCCAUCUACGAGAUCAGCUAUGAUGCUCUGCUUCAUAUGGAUAAGGAGAAUACUGUUGGGCAAGACAACAGUAAACUGCUAACUAGGAACUGGGGUGAUCUGAGCAAGGGUUUUUAUCGACACGUGAAAGGAAAAAUGAGUUUUACCCUAGAGGGAAAUACACCAGAGAAUGUCAGGAAGGCUGCUACCACCUUAAGAAUCAUGUCCAGAACGGAAUGGGAUAAGUGGGGUGGACGAGUACGGGAGUGGCCAGAGCAGCAGCAGCAGCAGCAGGUGUUAGGCUCCUUCAUUAAGAGUGAAAAGUAA
rnacentral:rRNA from 1 species